GCUGCGGCAGCGACACUAUGUGUUGUUGGGUAGGGGAGCGUUCUGUAAGCCUGUGAAGGUGUGUCGUGAGGCAUGCUGGAGGUAUCAGAAGUGCGAAUGCUGACAUAAGUAACGAUAAAGCGGGUGAAAAGCCCGCUCGCCGGAAGACCAAGGGUUCCUGUCCAACGUUAAUCGGGGCAGGGUGAGUCGACCCCUAAGGCGAGGCCGAAAGGCGUAGUCGAUGGGAAACGGGUUAAUAUUCCCGUACUUGGUGUUACUGCGAAGGGGGGACGGAGAAGGCUAUGUUGGCCGGGCGACGGUUGUCCCGGUUUAAGCGUGUAGGUGUGUGUUCCAGGUAAAUCCGGUUCACUUUAACACUGAGGCGUGACGACGAGGCACUACGGUGCUGAAGCAACAAAUGCCCUGCUUCCAGGAAAAGCCUCUAAGCAUCAGGUAACAUCAAAUCGUACCCCAAACCGACACAGGUGGUCAGGUAGAGAAUACCAAGGCGCUUGAGAGAACUCGGGUGAAGGAACUAGGCAAAAUGGUGCCGUAACUUCGGGAGAAGGCACGCUGACACGUAGGUGAAGUGAUUUACUCAUGGAGCUGAAGUCAGUCGAAGAUACCAGCUGGCUGCAACUGUUUAUUAAAAACACAGCACUGUGCAAACACGAAAGUGGACGUAUACGGUGUGACGCCUGCCCGGUGCCGGAAGGUUAAUUGAUGGGGUCAGCGCAAGCGAAGCUCCUGAUCGAAGCCCCGGUAAACGGCGGCCGUAACUAUAACGGUCCUAAGGUAGCGAAAUUCCUUGUCGGGUAAGUUCCGACCUGCACGAAUGGCGUAAUGAUGGCCAGGCUGUCUCCACCCGAGACUCAGUGAAAUUGAACUCGCUGUGAAGAUGCAGUGUACCCGCGGCAAGACGGAAAGACCCCGUGAACCUUUACUAUAGCUUGACACUGAACAUUGAGCCUUGAUGUGUAGGAUAGGUGGGAGGCUUUGAAGUGUGGACGCCAGUCUGCAUGGAGCCGACCUUGAAAUACCACCCUUUAAUGUUUGAUGUUCUAACGUGGACCCGUGAUCCGGGUUGCGGACAGUGUCUGGUGGGUAGUUUGACUGGGGCGGUCUCCUCCUAAAGAGUAACGGAGGAGCACGAAGGUUGGCUAAUCCUGGUCGGACAUCAGGAGGUUAGUGCAAUGGCAUAAGCCAGCUUGACUGCGAGCGUGACGGCGCGAGCAGGUGCGAAAGCAGGUCAUAGUGAUCCGGUGGUUCUGAAUGGAAGGGCCAUCGCUCAACGGAUAAAAGGUACUCCGGGGAUAACAGGCUGAUACCGCCCAAGAGUUCAUAUCGACGGCGGUGUUUGGCACCUCGAUGUCGGCUCAUCACAUCCUGGGGCUGAAGUAGGUCCCAAGGGUAUGGCUGUUCGCCAUUUAAAGUGGUACGCGAGCUGGGUUUAGAACGUCGUGAGACAGUUCGGUCCCUAUCUGCCGUGGGCGCUGGAGAACUGAGGGGGGCUGCUCCUAGUACGAGAGGACCGGAGUGGACGCAUCACUGGUGUUCGGGUUGUCAUGCCAAUGGCACUGCCCGGUAGCUAAAUGCGGAAGAGAUAAGUGCUGAAAGCAUCUAAGCACGAAACUUGCCCCGAG
rnacentral:rRNA from 1 species